rnacentral:tRNA from 1 species
UCCGGCGUGGUGUAGGGGCUAGCAUCUGUGGCUCUCACCCACAAGACCCGGGUUCGAUUCCCGGCGUCGGAA